GAGUGCGCGCCUCGGGGCAGCGCCUGGUGGAUUACAGCCGCCGCCCGGACCGACCGCCGCCUGCAGCAAGGCAACCUUCGGGUUAAGAGCAUACAAGUGCAGAUGCUGUGUUCCUGGAGCAGCAAUAGGAACGUGAGAGGCUCCAGCCAGCACCAAGCUAAGAAGGAGACAGUUCUACUCAGCUCCCCUGCCCACUAGGAAAGAAAAACAGUAAGUCACUUACUACUUUUUCCACAACUUCAGAGGUGUGGGAUUUCUCUGUUCCUGACUUUUCUGCUUAGGAUGGGGAGAAGUCUCAUCGAAGUUUAUUCUAAUUUUAGCCUAAACCUAAAUUAACAAAUAGAAUGAGCAUCUUGAUCUCUCAUGCCCUCCCUUCUGGAUAGGGACAGUUAGGAAUUGAGGGUUCCCCCCUCACAAGAGGGACUUACUGUCCCGCUUCUUCCCAUAAGAGCAUCUCCUUCAGAAGUGGAAUAAAACAAUGCUAUUCUGGGGGGGGGGGAAAGAGAGGAUGAGGGUAAAGAUGCUUUGUCGCUGAGAUUUCUGAUAUUGCUUUCUUAUAAUAAUAUUAGGAAAGACUGAAAACUUAAAACUGGACACCAGCCUCUGGGAGGACCAUUGCUUUAUAAGAUUGUUUUCUGGGCUUUCCAGCAGCAAUUCUGAAAAAUUGUUGUCAUACCCAUAGAGCUGGAUAACAAUCUAAAGCAUUGCCAUUUACCUUUAAACCCAUUGAUUUUCCUCCUUGGUUAUCAUUUGGGUCCUCAUUUCCCCCUGGAAAUUGCUCUUUGUUUUGAAUUGGAGUAGAGGUGGGAAGGCAAGUCCCAGCCAUGCCUGAUUCUUCUUUGAGGAGGAGAAGACAGGUUUUGGGAACACUGGUUGGGGCUGAGGAAUUUGAAAUCAACCUGAAGCUGGAAAAGAAGGCUGAAUUGCUCCCAGGGUGAGAGAGAUAGGAAGCUGGGGUGAGGGGCAGAUGGAGCGGCUACCCCUCCCCAGUGGACCUGCACCCACCCAGCCUGAUUGCGCAGAAGGAAACACACAAAGGCCCAUUUUCUCCUCGCUUCCCGUUUUCCCACUGGGAAAACCCUGUUACAGGCGGCCUGACUUGGGCCAAAUAACCAGUGAGGUUUUGCCCAAGGGUGCAUGGAGUGGGGGAGGCAAUGGAGACCGAAUUCUCUCAUAAUCUUUCUCUCUGCUCUUGAGGGACUGCGAUCUCCAGCUCCGCGGGGAACUUUCCGCAGUUCCCAGGGACGGGCACCUGAAGCAGGGAGGUCUGAGUAUUGGUGGGGUGUCUUGGCCUUGUCAUUUUUCUGUGAGUCAUAUGUUUCUGCUUUGUUAUCCUGUGAAAUUUAAGUGACCCCCGUUUUCAUUGCAACAGGUUCGGGACCAUGAGAGAGCGCCGCUGUAAGUACCUUCCCGUUUCUUCCGAAUCGCGAAGAGGCGGUACCGAUGGCGGGGAAGUGGUGGGCUUAGGGCCGAGCCUGCGGAGUGGGCGGAUGAAGAAAGGCCCUGCCUCCCCUACCCCACCCCAACCCCCACCCCGGGCCUAGCCUUGGGAGGUUAGCUCGCCUUGGGAGGUGGAGGCGCUAAAUCCAGCUCCUGGAAAGCUUUUCUUGGGCCUGGUUCACAGACACCUGCCUAAGGGAACCGGCCGCGGCGUCUCGCCCUGAUCUCCCUGGGCCUUCCUGGACCUUCGUGGCCGUUCCCUGCUUAGCACAGGUGCAGCUCCUCCAAGACGGUCACUUCUGUUAAGAGCUUGCUAGUUAGCAGCCUGUCCUAUUAACGACCUGCGGCAUCAAACCAAAGCAAUAAACACCAAGGCAAUGCGAUCCCCUCCGCAGUCCAACCGUUCUUAGCCCGGUCCAGCCUGGCCAACCUUCUGUUUUUAAAAAUAUUAACUGAAAACAAAAACUCAAUCCUCUGUGGCCGUGGGUGUGUUAAGUUGCUCUCUUCUGGGAAGGGCUGUGAAUUCUGAGCUUUAUGGGACAUUCCCUUCCCCAACCCUCCCCCGAUCUAGUUGCAGCCUUGCACGCUCUGGGUUUGGGACACUGGCUGAACGAGGAGGGAUACGGUCCUUCUUUUCACCUCUGCUUCUCUGUAACUGCAGUUGGAGGAUUUCCUCCCCAGAGUCGCUGUUGCUGCAAAGAGACAUAGGAGGGUGGAGCGGGGUGGGGUGGGGCCAGAGACUCCUGGGGCCCUUGGCUUGGAUGUUUGGAUCUUUCUGAGUUGCCUGUGCCGCGAAAGACAGGUACAUUUCUGAUUAGGCCUGUGAAGCCUCCUGGAGGACCAUCUCAUUAAGAGGAUGGUAUUGGCGGGAGAGUCACAAAAAGAACUGUGGCCCCUCUCUCACUGCAAAACGGAGGCGAUUUUAUUUUAACGGGAGAUAGAAUAUGAGAGGGCUGCAGCAACCAGGUACCCUCCUUCCUUCAUGGUUGGAAAAGCUGGGGCUGGGCUCAGGGGCAGGUUUUUUUGGCCCCGCUGGGCUGGGCAGUCUAGUCGACCGUUUGUAGGCUGUACACACCCCUAGAGGAGCAGUUACCCUCUAUACACCAGGCUGAUCCAAGUGAAAAGGGCUCUGGGCCCCAGUCUGGAAAAUCUGGUGUCCUGGGGACCCCCUGGUCUUGCUUCUCUCCUCCCCUGCACUGGCUUUGGGUGCUUAUCUCUGCGGAAGCUGCUUGCUAGCAAACCCACAUUCACUGCCCGGUAGCUGAACACAGCACAAAAAGCCCGAGAGAUCAAAAGCGUUAGUAUGGGCAGUUGAGCGGGAGGUGAAUAUUUAACGCUUUUGUUCAUCAAUAACUCGUUGGCUUUGACCUGUCUGAACAAGUCGAGCAAUAAGGUGAAAUGCAGGUCACAGCGUCUAACAAAUAUGAAAAUGUGUACAUUCACCCUGGUCCCCAGCCAGCUCAGCAGCCUCCCCCAAUUUGUCUGGAUAGAGCCUAGGCCCAGUGUCCCAGGAAGGUGGGUACGUGGGAGUCCUUGGCAUUCAGGGAAACUGGGGGGAAUCUUCAGGGACAAACAGAUUCUGCAGCCUCAUAGCCCUUGUUAGAAUGGGCACCCAAAAAAUCUCUACGAAAGAGGUAAAGUGAUGGAACCAAAGGAUUGGGGGUGUGUGCAAAGUGCCAUGCCUGGAGGGGUAGUAUUCCUGCCCCACCCCACCAGGCCCAGGCCUAAGCUCGAAGCUAAUGUUUGAUUUAUGUGGGAAGUAGGAAGGGCAAUUAAGACAGGAAAAAAUAAAAAAAAAAAAAGGAGCACCUUCAGCCCACAGUUAGGCGUUCAAAAGCCCCACUCAAGCCUGGGCAUCCCUGUGCCCCUGAAAUCCAUCCAGGCCCUGAGUGAGUCUGCGCUCUCCAUGCCCUGAACUGAGGGGCAUGCCCUGCGCAGUGCCGAGGCACUGGGGCGGGUGAAAUUUGUGAACUUUUGUACUCUUGUGUGCUGCUGUCGGCAAAGCAAAAAUAAUGAAACUUUGUGAUAUGUUUGUAAAUGAUUUCGAAUGACCCCUCUCCCUGCCCUUCACCAUUAGCGCGCCGGCCUCAGCCCAAGGCGGCUCGGUGCCUGUGAGUAGCGCCUGCCUCGGGGUCUGCAGCAGCCGCGGAACGGAGAGACCAGCCCGGCUCAGGGCCCAUGAAGGUAAAUGCGCGACUUCUUGGAGUAGAUUUGGCAGACAACCUGGCUUGGUCAGGCAGUAGGAAAAGCAGUGGACAGAGGAUAUUCUCCUCUUGCCUCUUUUCUUUCUGCCGCUGAGGGCAUUUGUUCCUUUCUGGAAAAUACCACUUGAUAAGGGGGGGGUUAUUUGGAUCCUGAGAGGGGGGUAAUAAAGCCGCCAUCCCUGGGAUGGAUUAUUUUUAUUUCUUUUUUUUCCCUUUCUUUCUUAAAAAGAAUAUUCUGGUUGCUAGGCUGCUUGGUAACCCUGACCCUGGCAAAAGAAUGAGUGAACUCGUUGCUUCAAAUUGUCGCCAAGCCCAUCAGGCUACCUGAACUGUUUCAGAAAGUGCGGGUGGCUGCGUCAGGCGGUGGUGGCUCAGAGGAAGAGGCUGGGGCUGGCAGCGGCCUAGGCACCUCACUCUGGGUGGGACCCAGAGGUUGUAACGUUGUCUAUAUAUACCCUGUAGAACCGAAUUUGUGUGGUAUCCAUAUAGUCACAGAUUCGAUUCUAGGGGAAUAUAUGGUCGAUGCAAAAACUUCACGUUUCUUCGGAAUAGCCAGAGACCAAAGUGCGAAGUGGAGACUAGAAGCAGCCGACACUGGCCAGCCGCCUCUUUUUGUUUUAUUACCUUGGACUCCAGGAGGAUCAGCUGUGCCUGGUGACACAGAGCAGCAUUUCCCUCUUCAGAAGCUCCUCACCUUUAAACAGAGGAUCCUGUGGGUGCUGAAAAAGAAAAG